rnacentral:rRNA from 1 species
AAGCUAAUGGUUAAUAGCCAUUAGCCCUGACGUUACCUUUAGAAGAAGCACCGGCUAACUCCGUGCCAGCAGCCGCGGUAAUACGGAGGGUGCAAGCGUUAAUCGGAAUUACUGGGCGUAAAGCGCGCGUAGGCGGCUCUUUAAGUCGGAUGUGAAAGCCCCGGGCUCAACCUGGGAACUGCAUCCGAUACUGGAGGGCUAGAGUGUAGGAGAGGGAGGUAGAAUUCCAUGUGUAGCAGUGAAAUGCGUAGAUAUAUGGAGGAAUACCAGUGGCGAAGGCGGCCUCCUGGCUUAACACUGACGCUGAGGUGCGAAAGCGUGGGGAGCAAACGGGAUUAGAUACCCCGGUAGUCCACGCCGUAAACGAUGUCUACUAGCUGUAGGGGUACUUGAGACCUUUGUAGCGCAGCUAACGCAC